ACAAUUGGUAUCAGAGCCCAACUCUCUGAAGACUUAACAGUUUGAGAGAACCAUCCAUGGCUUCUACUCGUGACUCUUUUGUAGGAAUAGGUGAAGGUGAUUUCAACAUGUUGCCCCCAAUAUUUGAUAGAAAUAAUUACUUAUAUUGGAAAGAUCGGAUGAGAAUUUUCAUCACAACCAACAACUUUUACCUAUGGCAAAUCAUCAAGCAUGGUGAUCAAAUGACAACAAAAGUUGGGAAAGCCAAGGUAAGUGAAUACAACACUAAUGCAAUAA
rnacentral:lncRNA from 1 species